CACGUGAGUAACCUGCCCUUAACUCCUGGGAGAAGCCUGGGAAACUGGGUCUAAUACCGGAUAGGAGCGUCCACCGCAUGGUGGGUGUUGGAAAGAUUUAUCGGUUUUGGAUGGACUCGCGGCCUAUCAGCUUGUUGGUGAGGUAAUGGCUCACCAAGGCGACGACGGGUAGCCGGCCUGAGAGGGUGACCGGCCACACUGGGACUGAGACACGGCCCAGACUCCUACGGGAGGCAGCAGUGGGGAAUAUUGCACAAUGGGCGAAAGCCUGAUGCAGCGACGCCGCGUGAGGGAUGACGGCCUUCGGGUUGUAAACCUCUUUCAGUAGGGAAGAAGCGAAAGUGACGGUACCUGCAGAAGAAGCACCGGCUAACUACGUGCCAGCAGCCGCGGUAAUACGUAGGGUGCGAGCGUUAUCCGGAAUUAUUGGGCGUAAAGAGCUCGUAGGCGGUUUGUCGCGUCUGUCGUGAAAGUCCGGGGCUUAACCCCGGAUCUGCGGUGGGUACGGGCAGACUAGAGUGCAGUAGGGGAGACUGGAAUUCCUGGUGUAGCGGUGGAAUGCGCAGAUAUCAGGAGGAACACCGAUGGCGAAGGCAGGUCUCUGGGCUGUAACUGACGCUGAGGAGCGAAAGCAUGGGGAGCGAACAGGAUUAGAUACCCUGGUAGUCCAUGCCGUAAACGUUGGGCACUAGGUGUGGGGACCAUUCCACGGUUUCCGCGCCGCAGCUAACGCAUUAAGUGCCCCGCCUGGGGAGUACGGCCGCAAGGCUAAAACUCAAAGGAAUUGACGGGGGCCCGCACAAGCGGCGGAGCAUGCGGAUUAAUUCGAUGCAACGCGAAGAACCUUACCAAGGCUUGACAUGUUCUCGAUCGCCGUAGAGAUACGGUUUCCCCUUUGGGGCGGGUUCACAGGUGGUGCAUGGUUGUCGUCAGCUCGUGUCGUGAGAUGUUGGGUUAAGUCCCGCAACGAGCGCAACCCUCGUUCCAUGUUGCCAGCACGUCGUGGUGGGGACUCAUGGGAGACUGCCGGGGUCAACUCGGAGGAAGGUGAGGACGACGUCAAAUCAUCAUGCCCCUUAUGUCUUGGGCUUCACGCAUGCUACAAUGGCCGGUACAAUGGGUUGCGAUACUGUGAGGUGGAGCUAAUCCCAAAAAGCCGGUCUCAGUUCGGAUUGGGGUCUGCAACUCGACCCCAUGAAGUCGGAGUCGCUAGUAAUCGCAGAUCAGCAACGCUGCGGUGAAUACGUUCCCGGGCCUUGUACACACCGCCCGUCAAGUCACGAAAGU
rnacentral:rRNA from 1 species